rnacentral:rRNA from 1 species
ACGCUCGACACCUACGGGAGGCAGCAGUGGGGAAUAUUGCACAAUGGGGGAAACCCUGAUGCAGCGACGCCGCGUGAGCGAAGAAGUAUUUCGGUAUGUAAAGCUCUAUCAGCAGGGAAGAAAGUGACGGUACCUGACUAAGAAGCACCGGCUAAAUACGUGCCGGCAGCCGCGGUAAUCUGAGCGGGCGUGGCAAGGC